ensembl:lncRNA
UGAAAGUUGGUGGCUUAAGCCGGGUCGCGCCCCUCCGCUGGGUCGGACUUGGCAGUGACCUACCCCUGAGAAAAAGAUGCUCGCGCAUAUUUACGCUCUGAUUGGUUAUCAGACUUCCUGUGUCCAUUGUCAGUUGCGUGCUUAAACCGUGCCAGGUCAAUAGGCCGUUCAUAUGACUCAGCCUAAACAUUAGCACUUUAACCCUGAGCUGGGAGAGAGGUCCUCGUCCCGUCUCCUGGAGCAAAAGGACAGGAUUGCUGCUUUAUCUAAGGCGGGAUUCGGAGGAAGAAAUGACCCUUUGCUCCACCUAGAAACAGCAGGGUGAUGGAAAUGCAAUGUGUAGAAUUUGUAGAUGUAGGUGACCAACGCUUUGGAAAGGAGGGAAGAAGAGAUUAGGACAGCAACAGACACAGAGGGGAGACCAUGUGAAAACACAGGAGGAAGAUGGCCGUCUACAAGACAGGGAGGAAGGACUCAGAAGAGAUCAACCCUACCAACACCUUGAUUCUUAGAUUUCUAGCCUCCAGAAACUGAGGAAAAUCAUUUUGACUGUUCUGUAAAGGGGCAGAGACGAAACCAACACUACAGUUCUGUGAGACAGGGACUGUUCCAACCCACAGAUAAAGAAACCGAGGCACAGAGGCCAGGCAACUUGUUUCAGGCCUUCACCUAAGCCAGUCCUGGAAGAAGCGAGGUUCAAACCCAGAGAGCACAGGGCCACCGUGUCCCCUGCCUUCCACAGGUGACAGUCUGUCUGGGGAAGCACCUCACGAGGUUGGACUGGGCGCCACAGCACAGCAGACCAGGAUAAGAGGAGCCUGACUAGGACAGAGGGGCUGCUCACUGAAGCAGCGGGAAAGUGCCUUGCAUUCAUCAACAGGCUCACAGAUCGGAAGAGACGGGGCCCAAAGAGCUUCAGAGCUUAUAAAAAGUGCACUUUGCUUUUAAAAAAUGUUUUUGUGUAAAAUCAAAUGUCUUUGAUUUUAUACAAAUUUGAAACCCAGGUGUUAUGGACUACAUGUUUGUGUCCCCCUCCCCAUCAAAACAAU